AAGGUUUUAGCUUAAUGAAAGCAUCUGGGUUGCAUUCAGAAGAUGUGAGAUAGAGUCUUGCAAAUCUUA
rnacentral:tRNA from 3 species